GACGAACGCUGGCGGCGUGCUUAACACAUGCAAGUCGAACGAUGAAGCCGGAGCUUGCUCUGGUGAAUUAGUGGCGAACGGGUGAGUAACACGUGAGUAACCUGCCCUUGACUCUGGGAUAACUGCUAGAAAUGGUAGCUAAUACCGGAUACGACCCUCGGCGGCAUCGCCAGGGGGUGGAAAGAAUUUCGGUCAAGGAUGGACUCGCGGCCUAUCAGCUAGUUGGUGAGGUAACGACUCACCAAGGCGACGACGGGUAGCCGGCCUGAGAGGGUGACCGGCCACACUGGGACUGAGACACGGCCCAGACUCCUACGGGAGGCAGCAGUGGGGAAUAUUGCACAAUGGGCGCAAGCCUGAUGCAGCAACGCCGCGUGAGGGAUGACGGCCUUCGGGUUGUAAACCUCUUUCAGUAGGGACGAAGCGCAAGUGACGGUACCUAAAGAAGAAGCACCGGCUAACUACGUGCCAGCCGCCGCCGUAA
rnacentral:rRNA from 1 species